AUGGGGAUGGGCGCCGCCGCCGCCGGGCUCCUGCCGCGGGAGGAACAGUGGUCGACGCUGGAGGACCAACGGGGCGAAUGCCCGCUGCUCUCGUCGGCGUGGAGCCUGCCAGGGCCGCCGGGGGAGGGGAUCGGGAAUGCGAAGCAGGGGGCGCUCCGGCGCGCCGCGGCGCGGGCGUGGGGCGCGCUGGCCGCGGGGCCGGCGGAGAUGUCGGCGCUCGCGCUGUCCGACCCGCGGAAGCCCGUGUUCGCGGCCAAGGUCGCGCUGGCCAUCGCGCUCAUGUCGCUGCUCGCCUUCGUCCGCGAGCCGCGCGACUUCGUCAGCCACUCCGUCUGGGCCCUCCUCACCGCCGUCGUCGUCUUCGAGUUCAGCAUCGGUGCAACACUUAGCAGAGGUUUCAAUAGGGGAUUAGGAACACUUACUGCAGGAGGGCUUGCUCUAGCAAUUGCUGAAUCGGCCAAAAACCUGGGGGAAAUGGAAGAAGUGAUUAUUGUUGUGAGCACUUUCACUGUUGGUUUUUGUACAACCUUGGCAAAGCAGCACCCAAAGAUGAAGCCUUAUGAAUAUGGAUUUCGUGUAUUCUUGCUAACAUUCGGUUAUGUCAUGGUCUCUGGAUACAGCACAGGGAAGUUCACUGAUACAGCUGUAAACAGAUUUGUAUUCAUUGCUCUUGGUGCUGCUGUCAGUCUGGGAAUCAAUAUAGGCAUUUACCCAAUCUGGGCUGGAGAGGACUUGCACAAUUUGGUUGCAAAGAAUUUUGCUGGUGUUGCAAAUUCCUUAGAAGGCUGUGUUGAUGAAUAUCUGAAAUGCAUGGAAUAUGAAAGGAUUUCUUCAAGAAUACUUCUAUAUCAAGCUUCUGAUGAUCCUCUAUAUAGUGGGUACAGGGCAGCUAUUGAAGCAUCAGCACAAGAGCAAACCUUGCUAGAUGAUGCUAUAUGGGAACCACCCCAUGGCCCUUACAAAAUGAUGAGCUAUCCUUGGAAGAGUUUCACUAAAGUUGGUGGAGCACUGAGGCAUUGUUCCUUCGCGGCCAUGGCACUGCAUGGUUGCAUUCUUUCAGAAAUUCAGGCACCGCCAGAAAGCAGAAAGGUCUUUAGUUCAGAAAUUCAUAAAGUGGGCAGAGAAUGUGCUAAAGUGUUGCGCGAGCUUGGGAACAACGUCAAGACAAUGACAAAGUUGAGCUCCUCAGAUAUUCUAUUUGAAGUCCACUUGGCAGCUGAAGAGUUGCAAAAAAAGAUUGAUGAGAGGUCAUAUCUUUUGGUGAAUACUGAAGCGUGGCACACUAGCAAGCGAGCUGAAGGAAUCAAAGAUGCCAUGAAUGCCACCCUUAUUGCGGGAAGAGAAAAUAAGAAUGAAGCAUUGGAACCUACCAUUGCUGAUCAAACUUUGGCAUACCAUUAUAAGACAUUUGCUGCUAGUUCAUUCCGUAGCAGAUAUGAUUCGUCGUCAACCAUAGACGGCUACAAGAAGCUACCACAUUGGCCUGCUCGAACAACGUUCCAUCCAAACCUGCCACUCGAAGACACGGAAUCAAAAACAUAUCAAAGUGCAAGCGCCUUAUCCUUGGCCACAUUUUCCUCGCUUCUAAUCGAGUUUGUUGCCCGGCUACAGAAUGUUGUUUACGCAUUUGAAGAACUCAGUGAUAAGGCCAAUUUCAAGGAGCCGGUGGAGGAGCCUGUUGCAGUUGGCAAGGGUGAUGGUGGAUUUGUUGCUAAAAUGUGCAAACUUGUUGGACUCAGGAGCUGA
rnacentral:rRNA from 1 species